rnacentral:rRNA from 1 species
AAUAUUGGUCAAUGGGAGCAAUCCUGAACCAGCAAUGCCGCGUGUGGGAUGACAGGGCUCAGCCUUGUAAACCACUGUCGGAUGGGACGAGAAGGUUCUUUUAGGACCCGGGACGGUACCAUCAAAGGAAGGGUCGGCUAACUACGUGCCAGCAGCCGCGGUAAUACGUAGGACCCGAGCGUUGUCCGGAUUUACUGGGUAUAAAGGGUGCGCAGGCGGCCGUGUGCGUCAGAAGUGAAAUAUCCGGGCUUAACCCGGAGGGUGCUUUUGAUACGGCAUGGCUUGAGUCCGAGAGAGGAUGAUGGAAUUCCUGGUGUAGCGGUGGAAUGCGUAGAUAUCAGGAGGAACACCGGUGGCGAAGGCGGUCAUCUGGCUCGGAACUGACGCUCAGGCACGAAAGCGUGGGGAUCAAACAGGAUUAGAUACCCUGGUAGUCCACGCCCUA